rnacentral:lncRNA from 1 species
CUUUCUAGGAACUAUAGCUGCUUAAUUACAUUUGUGAUGCUUGCAUCAAAUGACUGCAAACGGACAUGAAAGUCUGAAGAAAAAACAAAGGUCAGUGUUGUACUUUUUAUAUUGUCUGAUGCUCUAUGAAAGCCUCAUCUUGUCUACAUUGUCUCUGAGGAAAGUGAGAAUUUUUUUAACUACACAGACUCCCCAACAACUGUUGGAAUAUUGCCCAAGGAAAGUGUCUUGCAGAGCUGAAUCAAAUACAAAAUGCAGCCUGAUUUUGUUAGCAGAAAGAGUCCACUAGACUGACAGCACAGCCCUUUGCGCUGGUGGCCAUUAGUGGCUUGCUUAAUGUUAUUGUGGCAGCUGCCUGGACACUUUCCCUGCACUCUUUGUUGUCCUGGGGGUACUGGUCCAUCCAGAGGGGUUAGGCUGAGUGGAAGGAGGCGUCCAUGAAUCAUCCUCAGCAGAGAAUAGGAACUUAGCAAAACUGAAAACAAAAUGGGAGAUAAAUGCAGUAAGACCCUUUGAAGGAAGGAAAACUGGGAAGGGGGCAGGGAGAAGACUGCUGAAAGCCCCGGAUGAAGUUCCAUAAGAGUUUUCCACUGUGAGUUAUUGACAUGGCUCCAGUAUCCCCAGCUUCCCUUUACUUUUAGCCCUAGUGACUAGGAGAUGUGAAGGUGGAAAGGGGAGAUGUGAAGAGCCAAAGCGACGGUCCUCAAUCGAAGCAGAGGCCCCAGGACUCCAUGAUCAAGCAGAGGACUGACCUAAAACCCAAAGGCAUCCCACCACAGGAACAGGAUGAUGCUGUCCUGCAGAUAUGGAGUGAACUUGAUCCAGAACAUUUAACCAAGCACACUUGGAUACGCUGCAGCGGAAAAACUUGGAGCUUGUAAUUCAACGUGUCCUGGGAUUCGACCACAUGGGUAUUUUAUUGCUUAGGAAGGAUUAUGAAGGCUAACAAGCAUAACGAUACUACUGCUGCACCAGUUCAACUUCAGGAUGUUAAAAGUGAUAAACGACUUGUGUCCCAAAUUUUGUGAACAAAAUCGAAAUGCAAAUUUGUGUUUUUCAUGUGGCUGAAUAUGAUACAAAACAUACCUUAUAGAAUGUUUGCUAAAACUAAAGAUAAACACAAGAUAAAAGGAGACUGUAGUCCUUCCCUCAACCCUCCCACAAGCCCCGUAAGGAUAGGUGCCUUUAUUUACACUGUUUUUUUUUUUUUUUUUUUUGAGACAGAGUUUCACCCUUGUUGCCCAGGCUGGAGUACAGUGGUGCAAUCUCGGCUCACUGCAACCUCCGCGUCCCAGGUUCAAGAGAUUCUCCUGACUCAGCCUCCCGAGUAGCUGGGAUUACAGGCAUGGACCACCACAUCCGGCUAAUUUUGUAUUUUUAAUAGAGAUGGGGUUUCUUCAUGUUGGUCAGGCUGGUCUCAAACUCCCGACCUAAGGUGAUCCACCCGCCUCGGCCUCCCUAAGUGCUGGGAUUAUAGGCAUGAGCCACCACGCCCGGCCCAUUUAGACUUUUAACAUCCGAAGAACAUCAUGAUUUUUUAAAAAUAUUAGAUAUAGUAUUUGAGGUUUGAAGAAUUUCUAUACAAUAUGAAGAAAAGGAUGGGGGAGGGGAGGGCCAGUUGGGAGUGGGAGAGAAGGGGCAAUUGCAAAUUCACUUUUGAGCACACGGCCAAAAUGUAUACCUACUAGUUCCUGUUUCACCACCUCUGUGUUUAUUCCGCAGCCGAAGAUUGCUUUGGUUUUGCUCACAUUUUACAAAAGUUCAUUUCCACCUUUUUUUUGUUGUUGUAUUUUUAGCCUCCUCUUUUUUUUUUUUUUUUCCUAAUGCAAUGUUGGCAACUUCAGUGACUCUGGGAGGCCAGUUUCCCCAGCAAGUUCCCAUCAGGUACUUUUUGUUCCCUGCUGUGGAUGCUUCUUGGAUAGGUUGAUAAGCAAAGAAGUUCACGUUGGCGACAACACUUCCAUUAAAGACGCGUGCAGUAAAUCCUAUGAUGCAAUCUCCUGCAGCUUAACUAGCAGACCCAAGCUGGUCUGGCAUGAUCUAUGCACCAGCUUGCAGAAGCAGUCAGAUGAGUCACUGUGUGGCCCUCCAGGGAGAA